AUCCUGGCUCAGGAUGAACGCUGGCGGCGUGCUUAACACAUGCAAGUCGAACGAAGCAUUUACGACAGUAUUUCUUCGGAUUGAAGUUGUUUAUGACUGAGUGGCGGACGGGUGAGUAACGCGUGGGUAACCUGCCUUGUACUGGGGGAUAGCAGCUGGAAACGGCUGGUAAUACCGCAUAAGCGCACGAUGUCGCAUGACAUAGUGUGAAAAACUCCGGUGGUAUAAGAUGGACUCGCGUCUGAUUAGCUAGUUGGUAAGGUAACGGCUUACCAAGGCGACGAUCAGUAGCCGGACUGAGAGGUUGAUCGGCCACAUUGGGACUGAGACACGGCCCAGACUCCUACGGGAGGCAGCAGUGGGGAAUAUUGCACAAUGGGGGAAACCCUGAUGCAGCGAUGCCGCGUGGAGGAAGAAGGUUUUCGGAUUGUAAACUCCUGUUGAAGAGGACGAUAAUGACGGUACUCUUUUAGAAAGCUCCGGCUAACUACGUG
rnacentral:rRNA from 1 species